CUCCGUUAUUCGGCCAAACGGGAUGAUUUUUGCCGGGAUAUUUUAUCCCGGUCAAACUUUGCUAUUUCCGGUAAUCCCGGAAUAGCAAGAGAUUUACUAUUCCACUAUUUUGGUUGAAUAGUGCUAUUCCAAUACUUAAUUUCAAACUUAAUUAAAUUAAUAAAUUGAAUUAAAAAUAAAUUAUAUAAAUAUAAUAUGUUAUAUAUUAUAUAUUAUAAUACAUUAUUUUUAUUAUAAAAUUAUUAAUUAUACUAUAUUAAUAUAUAUUAUUUAUAUUUAAAUAUUAUAAUAAAAUUUAUAAUAAAUUAUAUUUAAAUAUUAUAAUAAAUUCUUUUUAUUAAAUUUAAGUUUAAGUAGAAUUUUUAAAAAAUUUAUAAAUUUAUUAUAAUAAAUUAUUUUUAUUAAUUGUUCCCACCACUAUUCUUAUUUUAAAAUUUUAAAAAUUAAAAAUUUAAAUUUUUAAAAUUUAUAAUUUAUAAUCUCAAAAUU
rnacentral:lncRNA from 1 species